GGGGAAUUUUCCGCAAUGGGCGAAAGCCUGACGGAGCAAUACCGCGUGAAGGAUGACGGCCUAUGGGUUGUAAACUUCUUUUCUCAGAGAAGAAUUUUGACGGUAUCUGAGGAAUAAGCAUCGGCUAACUCUGUGCCAGCAGCCGCGGUAAGACAGAGGACACAAGCGUUAUCCGGAAUGAUUGGGCGUAAAGCGUCUGUAGGUUGUGUGACAAGUUUUCUGUCAAAGACCAGGGCUUAACCUUGGGUCGGCAGGAAAAACUAUCAUGCUAGAGUUCGGUAGAGGCAGAGGGAAUUUCCAGUGAAGCGGUGAAAUGCGUAGAUAUUGGAAGGAACACCAAAGGCGAAAGCACUCUGCUGGGCCGAUACUGACACUGAGAGACGAAGGCGAGGGGAGCAAAAGGGAUUAGAUACCCCUGUA
rnacentral:rRNA from 1 species